UACGGGGGGGGCAAGCGUUGUUCGGAAUUACUGGGCGUAAAGGGCUCGUAGGCGGCCAACUAAGUCAGACGUGAAAUCCCUCGGCUUAACCGGGGAACUGCGUCUGAUACUGGAUGGCUUGAGUGUGGGAGAGGGAUGCGGAAUUCCAGGUGUAGCGGUGAAAUGCGUAGAUAUCUGGAGGAACACCGGUGGCGAAGGCGGUGGUCUGGACCAAAACUGACGCUGAGGAGCGAAAGCCAGGGGAGCAAACGGG
rnacentral:rRNA from 1 species